GCGAACGGGUGAGUAACGCGUGAGGAACCUGCCUCAAAGAGGGGGACGACAGUUGGAAACGACUGCUAAUACCGCAUAAGCCCACGGGUCGGCAUCGACCAGAGGGAAAAGGAGCAAUCCGCUUUGAGAUGGCCUCGCGUCCGAUUAGCUAGUUGGUGAGGUAAUGGCCCACCAAGGCGACGAUCGGUAGCCGGACUGAGAGGUUGAACGGCCACAUUGGGACUGAGACACGGCCCAGACUCCUACGGGAGGCAGCAUG
rnacentral:rRNA from 1 species